UUCUUAAAGGGGCAUUCCUGUGACUUCUGGGACCCAGUGGGAAGCCUCUACUUGAGGGAGGUCCCCAUCGUAGUCCAGUUGGAACUAGCAUCUUGGUGGUGUGUGUAAUUAGAAUGUGAGAAGAAAUGCAGGAUGGUGUUUCACAGAAGCCCCUCCUAGGCACAGAAUUACGCUUUUGAUACAGAUGAAAGUGGUGCUCACGUGGAAAACCUUGGUGCUUUAGGACACAGAACAAAGCGAACUUUGUGUUAAAAGCCACGGAAAAUAACGAUCUGACAGUAUCUGCUACCAACCUGCUGCAUGUCAGAGGAUGAGAACCACCCAAGUGCCACCAAAGCAAGUCUGAAGGUAAGAGUGUUCAGCAACAUGGCUGGUACUGAAACUGGUCACUUCAAAGAGGGUUUGCAUGGGUGAAAAACCAUCAGCUCUUAACGCGGUGACCGCACAUUGAAAUCCUCUGCAGGAUGCCGCAGCCACUUGGUGUGUGCUGUGGUCUAUUGACGAGGAGAUACAGCUUACAGAGUGAGGCCCACUGCGGGGGGAGAGGAUGU